AGAGUUUGAUUAUGGCUCAGAUUGAACGCUGGCGGCAGGCCUAACACAUGCAAGUCGAACGGUAACAGGAAACAGCUUGCUGUUUCGCUGACGAGUGGCGGACGGGUGAGUAAUGUCUGGGAAACUGCCUGAUGGAGGGGGAUAACUACUGGAAACGGUAGCUAAUACCGCAUAACGUCGCAAGACCAAAGAGGGGGACCUUCGGGCCUCUUGCCAUCGGAUGUGCCCAGAUGGGAUUAGCUUGUUGGUGGGGUAACGGCUCACCAAGGCGACGAUCCCUAGCUGGUCUGAGAGGAUGACCAGCCACACUGGAACUGAGACACGGUCCAG
rnacentral:rRNA from 1 species